rnacentral:rRNA from 1 species
AUACGGAGGAUCCGAGCGUUAUCCGGAUUUAUUGGGUUUAAAGGGUGCGCAGGCGGCCAUUUAAGUCAGCGGUUAAAUCGUGGGGCUCAACCCCAUUCUGCCGUUGAUACUGGGUGGCUUGAUUGCGGUCGAGGUUGGCGGAAUUCGUUGUGUAGCGGUGAAAUGCAUAGAUAUGACGAAGAACACCGAUUGCGUAGGCAGCUGACCAGAUCGCAAAUGACGCUCAUGCACGAAAGUGCGGGGAUCGAACAGGAUUAGAUACCCUUGUAGUCCGCACAGUAAACGAUGAAUACUUGUUUUCGGCGAUAUAAUGUCGGAGGCAAAGCGAAAGCGAUAAGUAUUCCACCUGGGGAGUGCGCCGGCAACGGUGAAACUCAAAUGAAUUGACGGGG